rnacentral:rRNA from 1 species
AUUUAGUAAAUUAAAAAAGAUUAAAUAAAAAUUGUUAUUCAAUAAAAUUUUUUAAGAGAAUUGGCGGUGAUUAAAUAUAUUUUGAGAAACUUGUAUAUUAAGUGAUAUUACACAGAUUAUCUUACCUAAUCUAUUUAUUUAUGUAUUGCUGUUUAAUUUAUAAUUUAAUAUAAAAAUAAAUAAGAUUAUUUAUGAAUAAGAAAUUCAAGUCAAAAUGUAGUUUUUUUAGGUUUAUAUGAGUUGCUUUUUUAUAUAUAAGAAAAAUAAAAAUUUAAAUAUUUUUUUAUUAUUGGAUUAAAAUGUAAAAUGAAAGUAGUUAGUUUAUUUGAUAAUUUUUUUAUCAUGU